CCAAAAAAUGUUUACAUAAUUGGGAAUGGCCCAUAGUUCUACAUAAAUUGAUAAUGAUGAUUAUUAUUUGUAGAUUAGGUAUGAAUAUCGAUAUUGGUUAAUUUAUCUUAUCUUUGUUAUUGAGGAUAGGUAGGUAUAAUACGUAGAUUAGUCUUCAUUGCAUGGUCAAAUUGGAACUGACAGGAAACGAAAAAUGGGUGCCAAUAAUAGUUGUUGUUUCCCGUGCUGUUGUUGCUGUUGCAACGACGACAAUAACGGAGGUGGCGGCGGCGUGAUCGUCGUCGACAACCCACCAGACCAAGUGACCGUUGUCGACCAGCCAGGAUAUGACUCUAUGGCCAGAUAACCAUGGUGGUGAUCGUUUUUUGCAUCUUCACACAUGGACCAGAUGUAAAACUACUACCUAGAUACUUAGAUAAUUUACUCAGAUUUCUUGAACGCAUUUCAUUUGAACUGAUGAUCAUUUCAGCCAGCACCGCGUCAACAAGAGUUCAUUUCCAGAAACGCCAAUCGUCGUAAAAUUUUGUUUAAAUUCAUGCAGAAAACAGAGUUUUCACCUUGCCUUAUGUAAUUUCAAAUGAGGGCCUCAUUCAUUGUCUUCACGCCUACUUGAAAAUGAUCGUUAAUUAUUCACUUACUUAUAUUAUUAAAAUGUUCAAUUUUAUAAUUUCAAUUAAAACAGCUUAAAGCGGAAUAAUAAUACAUAAUAUUAUUCGCUGUUAUUUAAGUGGUACUUACGCUGUUUCAUCAAUCAUAAUUUUUUUAGAGUAUUUUAUAGGUCCAUAUAAAACAAAAUAAAACUUAUUUAAUUAUUAUCUAUGUACUAUGUAAGCAUAGGUAGAUUUUAAAGUUAGGUAUACCUAAUACCUAUUAUCUGAGCUUCAUGUUUGUAUUCUUAAGUAAUUUAAUCUAAAAUAUUUUAUUUAAAAACAAGUAAAAAUAAGUAGGUACACUACUUGGGUACCUAACUACUUAUUUAAAAAGUUUGGUAUAAGAGGAGUACUGUGUAUUUUGACGUAGGUACUUAAUAAAUAUUGAACAGUUGUUGUACUUUAUAUUUUUGUAGUUUCUAUACGUCUACAUAUUAUAAGUAGGCACAUUCGUGAUGACGGGGUAGAGGAAUAAAAAGUUUAUAUAAUAUAUCGAUUAUAAAUAAUUGAUAAAGUAA